GAUAAACGCUGGCGGCGCACAUAAGACAUGCAAGUCGAACGGACUUAACUCAUUCUUUUAGAUUGAGAGCGGUUAGUGGCGGACUGGUGAGUAACACGUAAGCAACCUGCCUAUCAGAGGGGAAUAACAGUGAGAAAUCAUUGCUAAUACCGCAUAAGCUAGUAGCAUCGCAUGAUGUAGCUAGAAAAGGAGUAAUCCGCAGAUAGAUGGGCUUGCGUCUGAUUAGCCAGUUGGUGGGGCAACGGCCUACCAAGGCGACGAUCAGUAGCCGGACUGAGAGGUUGAACGGCCACAUUGGGACUGAGAUACGGCCCAGACUCCUACGGGAGGCAACAGUCGGGAAUAUUGCGCAAUGGAGGAAACUCUGACGCAGUGACGCCGCGUAUAGGAAGAAGGUUUUCGGAUUGUAAACUAUUGUCGUGAGGGAAGAAAUUGACAGUACCUCAGGAGGAAGCUCCGGCUAACUAUGUGCCAGCAGCCGCCGUAA
rnacentral:rRNA from 1 species